rnacentral:misc_RNA from 1 species
UUAAUAAAAUCGGGGUGUUGCUUUUUUGUGACGUACCGGAGAUUGAGCUACCUUUAACUCUCGGGUUUAAGAGGCUUAAAAUUGAACUUAUUUGCGCACUUUUUUAGACGUAUAUAAUUUUUUUUAUCGUCUAUUCUGGUGCCAAUUACUUAUUAGGUGCGAUCAUGUUAUAUGAUCUCGUGCCUAUAAUUUCUCAUC